AGAGUUUGAUCCUGGCUCAGGAUGAACGCUGGCGGCGUGCCUUAGGCAUGCAAGUCGAAUGCCCCGCCUUUGGCGGGACAUGGCAGACGGGUGAGUAACGCGUAGGAAUCUUCCCCGAAGUGAGGAAUAGCUCAUCGAAAGAUGGGGUAAUACCGCAUAUUCCUUGUCCGUAGGACAAGGAAAUUCUAAGUACCAAGCACCAAAUCCCAAAUAAUAUUUAAAUUUCAAUUUUCAAAAUUCAAAACAAAAUUUGAAUAUUUGAAUUUGUUAUUUUGAAUUUAUUUAGGAUUUGAGAUUUGUAAUUUGGGAUUUCCUUGCCCUGCGGGCAAGGCAAAGGGCUUAACUGCUCGCUUUGGGAUGAGCCUGCGUCCUAUCAGCUUGUUGGUGAGGUAAUGGCCCACCAAGGCGAUGACGGGUAGGGGGUGUGAGAGCACGAUCCCCCACAAGAGCACUGAGACACGGGCUCUACAUCUACGGAUGGCAGCAACCAGGAAUCUUGCGCAAUGGGCGAAAGCCUGACGCAGCGACGCCGCGUGAAGGAUGAAGGCCUUCGGGUUGUAAACUUCUUUUGAUAGGGAGCAAGUCCGCCAGUUGGCGGAUUGAUAGUACCUAUCGAAUAAGCACCUGCAAACUACGUGCCAGCAGCCGCGGUGAAACGUAGGGUGCAAGCGUUAUCCGGAUUUACUGGGCGUUAAGAGUUCGUAGGCGGUUUUUUAAGUCAGUUGUUAAAAACUCCGGCUCAACUGGAAGAAGGGCGGCUGAUACUGAAAAACUANNNNNNNNNNNNNNNNNNNNNNNNNNNNNNNNNNNGGGUGAAAUCCGUUGAGAUCGGGGAGGAACACCAAGGGCGAAGGCAAGCACCUAGAUCUUAACAGACGCUGAUGAACGAAAGCUAGGGGAGCAAAUGGGAUUAGAGACCCCAGUAGUCCUAGCCGUAAAACAAUGCCUACUAGUUGUCCCGCCUUUGGCGGGAUGGCGCAAGCUAACGCGUUAAGUAGGUCGCCUGGGAAGUACGACCAUAAGGUUAAAACUCAAAGGAAUUGACGGGGGAGCGCACAACCAGUGGAGCAUGUGGUUUAAUUCGAUACAAAGCGAUGGACCUUACCUGGACUUGACAUCCUGUUGACAACUUGACGAAAGUCGAGAUUUCCGCAAGGACAGCAGGACAGCUGUUGCAUGGCUGUNGUCAGCUCGUGUCGUGAGACGUACGCUUAAGUGCGGUAACGAGCGCAACCCUUACCCUAAGUUAAAUGCUCAUAGGGAACUGCCUCUGCAUUUGCGGGGGAGGAAGGAGAGGAUGACGUCAAGUCAGCAUGACGCUUAUGUCCAGGGCUACACACAUCCUACAAUGGGAAGGACAAUGGGUUGCCAAACCGUAAGGUGGAGCUAAUCCCAUCAAACCUUCUCUCAGUUGGGAUUGAGGGCUGCAAUUCGCCCUCAUGAACGCGGAAUUGGUAGUAAUCGCGGGUCAGCAGACCGCGGUGAAUACGUUCCUGCUCCUUGUACACACUGCCCGUCAACUGAGGAAAGUCGGGAGCGCCCGAACACUAACUUUAUGUUGGGGUAAGGCGAGCUCGGUAAUCAGCGGUAAGUCGUAACAAGGUA
rnacentral:rRNA from 1 species